CUCCCUCAGACUGGCCUACCAGGUGAUCGUACCCAUCAGUUUCCUGAGUGAGUCAGGGUCUACUUUUCCAAAGUCCAGGGUUCUUACGCUGCUGCUCUCCUUCCUUCCUUUCCUCAGGUUCCUGAACUGAGUCAUCUCAUGGUCACUGCUGCUCAAGUUACCAGCCACUUCUAUGCUCCUCACCAAUUCUUUGUUGUAAGCAGAUCAAGAAGAGGGAAAUUUGCACAGCUCCAAGGGCUUCUCUACCUAUUUGGAGUUGCAGUGGAACUUUAUUUUACUCUUCUGAUUUGUUAUCACUGACCUCCCACUGGAUGGAUAACAAAAGCGUUUGGAUAAAGAAAAACUCUGUUAUUGAACUCUUAUACCAAACAAAUGUUUUGGACUGCUUGAGAAGUACAAGGAGGCUUAGAAGAAAACAAAGAAGAAAUUUGUGGUGAGCAACAUGCUGGAAUGCAAUUGAGAAGCCUUCAUGCUAGCUGUAACCAUAACUGAUAGGGGGGACCAGAACUGUGAUGAUGGUAUCGGGAUUUGAUAAGGGGGUGGUAGAAUGCUAUAACAGGGUGCUUUGUCCCUUUACAAAGUAAUAGUCAGGCCUGUUGACAGAUGUCAGUUGCCAGACAUUUGGAUAGGCAAGAAGAGUCCUGCUAGGAACUUUCAAAAUUGCGUAGAAGAGAAAGCAGGGAAGGAGGAAGCAAGUGGUGAGUCAGCUGCUGGCUGUCAGAAGGAGCCAGGCUUCUCCUCAAGUGCCUGGGAUGAGGCAGAAGGAUUUGGUUUCCUUUGAUUUGUUUGUUUGCUUGCUUAUGUGUUACUUAACAACUAUGUUUUACGUAGGGGCACUUUUAAACAGAAAAUCUCUGAAUGUUCACCUUAGUAGAUAUGCAGAGUUCCUUACUGUGUAGUACAUGUAGCAGGUUCACCUUUGAGAGUUUGGGUUGAGUCCCAGGCUUGAGAUCCUGUUGUUUUGAUUGGUGGAGCCCAUCCACCAAUCAGGAGGCAGGAAGAGAAAUAAAGUCACACCCCUUUCCUGAGGGGAGGGGGGA
rnacentral:lncRNA from 1 species